GCGGACGGGUGAGUAAUGCUUGGGAAUAUGCCUUAUGGUGGGGGACAACAGUUGGAAACGACUGCUAAUACCGCAUGAUGUCUACGGACCAAAGUGGGGGACCUUCGGGCCUCACGCCAUAAGAUUAGCCCAAGUGGGAUUAGCUAGUUGGUGAGGUAAUGGCUCACCAAGGCGACGAUCCCUAGCUGGUUUGAGAGGAUGAUCAGCCACACUGGGACUGAGACACGGCCCAGACUCCUACGGGAGGCAGCAGUGGGGAAUAUUGCACAAUGGGCGCAAGCCUGAUGCAGCCAUGCCGCGUGUGUGAAGAAGGCCUUCGGGUUGUAAAGCACUUUCAGUAAGGAGGAAAGGUUAAGUGUUAAUAGCACUUAGCUGUGACGUUACUUACAGAAGAAGCACCGGCUAACUCCGUGCCAGCAGCCGCGGUAAUACGGAGGGUGCGAGCGUUAAUCGGAAUUACUGGGCGUAAAGCGUACGCAGGCGGUUUGUUAAGCGAGAUGU
rnacentral:rRNA from 1 species